AUUGAACGCUGGCGGCAGGCCUCACACAUGCAAGUCGAACGAGUGGCGGACGGGUGAGUAAUGUCUGGGAAACUGCCUGAUGGAGGGGGAUAACUCCUGGAAACGGUAGCUAAUACCGCAUCCCAUCGGAUGUGCCCAGAUGGUAUUAGCUAGUAGGUGGGGUAAAGGCUCACCUAGGCGACGCUCCCUAGCUGGUCUGAGAGGAUGACCAGCCACACGGGAACUGAGACACGGGCCAGACUCCUACGGGAGGCAGCAGUGGGGAAUAUUGAACAAUGGGCGAAAGCCUGAUGCAGCCAUGCCGCGGGUAUGAAGAAGGCCUUCGGGUUGGAAAGUACUUUCAGCGGGGAGGCGUUACCCGCAGAAGAAGCACCGGCGAACUCCGUGCCAGCAGCCGCGGUAAGAC
rnacentral:rRNA from 1 species